CCGGAAACGUCAAAGUUGUAAUGACUGUCUAGCCAAGUUGUUUAAAACAAAAACACGCUCAUUCCGAAUAUGACAACAAGUGUAUAUAAAGUAUUUAUGAGUACAAGUUUUACAGAUGUGGAAAACCGAUUUUGGACGAACAAUGACGAAGAACAACUUUAACCCGAAGACACCUAACCACAAAUCCCUGACACGGUGGAUGCAGAAUCAGGAGACGGGAAGAAGGUUGUGGUGUCAACACACUCACACACACAUACACACACACGCCAGAGACGUACACAAAGUGGCACACAGGACAGGAUGUGUGAGACGGAUGCAACCAGAGAAGGAAAAAGGACAUCCUCAGGCAUUCUGGAUUUUGACUACAGCUCCGCCCCCCUGGAGAAGACAUUACCAGGAGUUUGGAGGAGGAGCUGAGGCUACUCUGGCCUCCGAGGCUGAGACUAAUUCAAAACAGGAUCAGGACUCCCAACGAGCACCAACUUUGCACAAGCAGUCGGAGUCAAGUAAAAAUCGGAAAUGAGAGGAGAGUUGAUAUUUCUGGACAUCCUCCGUCUGUGUGUUUAAGGUUGGACGUUUUCAAGUUAUUUUCCGACACAAAACUUCAACAAGCCCUCCUGGGAUGAGCCCAGAAUUGCCCCAAUAAGCAUCCACUCCCCCCGUUGUGAGCGAGCCAAAAUAGAGACGGCGAGAGGAGACGUUCCGAAGGGAGCGCUUGGGUUAUGUUUAGGUUUGUCCAACGAGGAAUAAUUUAGGGAAGUAUGUCCAUCCUUGCCUUCCCCCUCUUGCUCAACGUCCACCCCCUAGUCCCACCAUAACUGUAAAUCUGCUGCAGCAUUUUGCGCCAACCGCGGCUGCACGCCUGGCGAGCCCUGCCGCCACGCCGCUAACUUUGGAGGAGGCCAUUAACAAGGGCUAAAAGGAACGGCGGCACCAUGUAGGCCGUGCUUGUGUCAAACUUGGCAGUCGGACGGCGGACACAAGUCACAGGAGAUAGGACAAAGUGGAAUGACUGAUUUGAGGCAAGGAAAAAAAAAAUAUUUGGCCCCUAGCAUAAAAGUUGUGGCUGUUCAUAAACCGCACUUGCAUAGUUCCCAUCUAAAUUUGUUGUUUUUAUUUUGUCAUAUUUUACUGAUUAUCCAGUAAAGUUGACCAUCGUUUAUUAAUUGGUUCCAUACGUGAAAACUGAAUGUCCGCAAAUCAGGAUUCAAUAUUAAUAAACUGAAUAUUUUCACCCCUAUUAGAGCCCUGUAGACACUGAAUAAGACAAUAUAGUCACAGUUACCCUUCUAUUAUUUUAUGGUUACACCACAUUACACAGGCUACGGGAUCACUGCAG